CCAGCGCUCGGGGGAAGGGGGCCUCGGGGGCCAGGGAGUAGUCGACGGACAGGAUGGGGACGCCCAGCUCCUGGGCCCAGCUCUUGAGGUCAUAGGAGAUGAGCCUGACGAGGACCGGCCCGGGGCCCGAGUGGGCCAGAGGAGUGCUCCCCGAAGGACACCAGCCCGAUGGAGAUGGUCUGCAGGAACGGCCGGAUGGCGGGCGUGAACUGUGGAGAGAUGCCGCUGGGUCACCCACUGCCCAGGAGGGACUGGAGGCGGGCAGGGGUGAGGGGCAGAGACGUGGUUUGGGGACAGACGUGGUCAUCCAGCAAACAUUUAGUGAGCUCCUACUGUGUGCCAGGCACUGCUCUAGGCGACAGGAAGCAAAUAAAGGCAUAUGUUCGAUGUUAA